UGGGGAAUAUUGGACAAUGGGGGCAACCCUGAUCCAGCCAUGCCGCGUGAGUGAAGAAGGCCUUAGGGUUGUAAAGCUCUUUCAGUCGUGACGAUGAUGACGGUAGCGACAGAAGAAGCCCCGGCUAACUCCGUGCCAGCAGCCGCGGUAAUACGGAGGGGGCAAGCGUUGUUCGGAUUUACUGGGCGUAAAGGGCGCGUAGGCGGGGUAUCCAGUUAGGGGUGAAAGCCCGGGGCUCAACUGGCGGAGGCCAUCCCAAACUGCGUCACUUGAGGCCUGUAGAGGUAUGUGGAAUUGCCGGUGUAGUGGUGAAGUGCGUAGAGAUCGGCAGGAACACCCAGGGGGAAACCAGCAUACUGGACAGGUCCUGACACUCAGGUGCGACAGCGUGGGGAGCGAACCGGAUUAGAUACCCCUGUAGUCC
rnacentral:rRNA from 1 species